GGAGAUAGAGCUCAGUUGGUAGAGUACUUGCAUUGCAUGCACAAGGCCCUGGGUUCAAUCCUCAGUACUCCCC
rnacentral:tRNA from 1 species